UGAACACAGCAAAACUAAAACAAUUGAUUUAGGAAACAAAAAGUAAAGGAAAGGUGUACGGGUUUCCUAUAACCCACUAUCACCAAAUGGGGUUUCUAAAUCCCUAACUCUUUCUUCUCCGGCGACGGCCUCCAUGGAGUUGGCGGCACAGCCAAAGCUUCCGUCUUCAUCUAUGGCUUGCGAUGGUGGUGACGCGGUGGUUCGAUUUUCGUCCGUGACGGCUUUGAAUCGGGUAACGAAAUGAGGAAUCAUCCUCCUCAAUCUCUUUGUUUUGUUUUUCACUAACCUUCUUUUACUUUGAUUCAUUAUUCAUCCUUUGUUUAUGGUUUUUUCAUAAUGAAUGGGGUUAAUAUCCUUAAUCCUUAUUUUUAUCCUCCAUUUGUUUUAUUUUAGACUCUUGUAUUUGCGUUUUUAGAAUUAUCGAUAUUAUAUACUGCAAAAAAGACUAAGAUUGAUAGGUUUUCUUGAAACAAAAAUUACUGAAAAGGGUUUUCUAUUUCGUCAUAUAAUGCAUAUUGAUGUCAAUGAUUAAUACAGAUUCGUAACUUAGCACAAUGAGUGAUAAUGAUAACAACAGAACCAUAUACAUGGGAUUUAUAAUUGUAGGAUUAGCAUUUAGCAGGGUCUAGAGUGCAAUGUCGUCUUAAUUCUUUGCUGCUUAUGUAGCUUGAAGAUAGGCUUAUGACAAAUGAGUGUGGGUAACGAUUAUUCCUAAAUUAGUCAAAACUGU
rnacentral:lncRNA from 1 species